rnacentral:rRNA from 1 species
GAUCUCUUGGUUCUGGCAUCGAUGAAGAACGCAGCGAAAUGCGAUAAGUAAUGUGAAUUGCAGAAUUCAGUGAAUCAUCGAAUCUUUGAACGCACAUUGCGCCCGCCAGUAUUCUGGCGGGCAUGCCUGU